rnacentral:rRNA from 1 species
UGCCAGCAGCCGCGGUAAUACGGAGGGUGCAAGCGUUGUUCGGAAUUAUUGGGCGUAAAGCGAGUGUAGGCGGUUUGGCAAGUCGGAUGUGAAAGCCCAGGGCCCAACCCUGGAAUUGCAUCCGAUACUGUCAGGCUAGAGUCCCGGAGAGGGUGGCGGAAUUCCCGGUGUAGGGGUGAAAUCCGUAGAUAUCGGGAGGAACACCAGUGGCGAAGGCGGCCACCUGGACGGUGACUGACGCUGAGACUCGAAAGCGUGGGUAGCAAACAGGAUUAGAUACCCUGGUAGUCCACGCCGUAAACGGUGAGUGCUCGUCGUCGUGGGUAUUGACCCCUGCGGUGACCAAGUUAACGCAUGAAGCACUCCGCCUGGGAAGUACGGUCGCAAGACUAAAACUCAAAGAAAUUGACGGGGGCCCGCACAAGCGGUGGAGCAUGUUGUUUAAUUCGAAGCAACGCGCAGAACCUUACCUGGAUUUGACAUCCUCGGAAUCUCUCUGAAAGGAGAGAGUGCCUUCGGGAGCCGAGAGACAGGUGCUGCAUGGCUGUCGUCAGCUCGUGUCGUGAGGUGUUGGGUUAAGUCCCGCAACGAGCGCAACCCCUAUCGUUAGUUGCUAGCAGUUCGGCUGAGCACUCUAGCGAGACUGCCGGUGUUAAACCGGAGGAAGGUGGGGAUGACGUCAAGUCCUCAUGGCCUUUAUGUCCAGGGCUACUAACGUGCUACAAUGGUCGGUACAGACGGUCGCGAACUCGCGAGGGCAAGCCAAUCCUAAAAAGCCGGCCUCAGUUCGGAUUGGAGUCUGCAAUUCGACUCCAUGAAGGCGGAAUCGCUAGUA